rnacentral:rRNA from 1 species
UUAGAUCGAGAGGACUAAUGGAGCGCUUAGAAGUGAGAAUGCCGGUAUGAGUAGCGAAAGAUAGGUGAGAAUCCUAUCCGCCGAAAGACUAAGGUUUCCUGGGGCAGGCUCGUCCGCCCAGGGUAAGGCCGAGAGGCGUAGCCGAUGGACAACAGGUAGAAAUUCCUGUACUGAAAUUGUUCGAUAUGAGCAAAGGAGGGACGCAGGAGGCUAAUGACGCAUGUUGCUGGAAAUACAUGUGCAAGCAG